AGUGCGGUUGACAGUGUGCAGGCGGGUAGGGGAGCAUGGGGCCGCGGUCAACAACCAGGAGAAGCCUCGGCGGGGACAGAGAUGUAGUAUAAAACGUUAAUGGAUGUCCAAGGUGCGCCAUUUCGCCGGCUGCUGGCCAGAGGUACUAGGGAGGCGCUGGCAAGAGCCCUGGCGAGGAUGCACCUUCCCUGCCUUGGAAAGACAGGAAGGUGGUGGAGAGAUGGGACAGUGUUCUCAUUUUAAGAUUGGAUAUCUAACAGAAGACUUCAACAAAUGAAAAGGCGCGUCAUAUUUUUGGGUCCUGUUUCUCUGGAUAAUCCUAACUAAUACAAGGCAGAAGAAGAAAGUCUGAGAGCGAAGAGGAGACUCUGAGUGAAGAAAUGUGAAAACUCAGAUGGAGCUGACCCCAUGGUGAAGAGCUAUCCUGUAGAAUAUGAUGCCAGCUGAACAAGUCUGAGUGAGUGCGUGGAUUUUGAUUUCCUAACUAAUACAAGGCAGAAGAAGAAAGUCUGAGAGCGAAGAGGAGACUCUGAGUGAAGAAAUGUGAAAACUCAGAUGGAGCUGACCCCAUGGUGAAGAGCUAUCCUGUAGAAUAUGAUGCCAGCUGAACAAGUCUGAGAAUAGUUUUCCAGAAUUUAUUUUGGAUACCACUCCUCAUUCGUCCAGCCUUAUUAAAGUGUGUUGAGAGGAACCGACCACAUCAUCAGCUCCGGUUGCUGCCUUGAUUGACUUAAGCCGAUCAGCAUAUCCAGUCACCCUGUCCACAGUGACUGCUUUAGAGACGGACAUGACCAGAGUCCAUGAAAGACAAGAAGGUGGGGCUUCUGGGAAAGAUGUUGGGAGAGUCGGCCUUCCCUUUGGAAGAAGAUACCAAAUUUCUACUUCUUACCAUUCACAAAUAUUAAUUGAAGUGGUAUUAAGAACCUAUUGUUGUUCUUAGAAGAUACAGAAAAGCACAAAGCCAUAUUGAUAGUUUGAUAAUUUGGUUACAUGAUGUUAGCACCACAAAACACGGUGAGUAAAAUUAAAGCAAACUGAAUGGAAGGAAAUAUUUGCUACAUACAUAACAAGAAUUAGUAUCCAUGUCAUAGUAAACCUUCUAUAUGCGGAGAAGAAAAAAGGCAACAUGAUAGAAGUUUGAGCAAAAGAUAUGAGCAAAGAAUCCACAUAGGAGGACAUAGGCACAUAAAGGGCAACCCCUCCCGCCCCAAAUCACUGUAAGCAUCUGAAAAGUGCUCGACUUCACUAUUAAUCAAGGAAGUGCAUUUUAAAACUGCAGCAGAGUAUUCCAUAGUAUGGAUAUACUAAAGUUUAAUCAUUUCCCUAUUGAUGGAAAUCUAGAUUAUUUAUUAUACACAGUGCUCAAUGAAUGUCUCUGUCUUGCCUCCUUGAACCUGCCUACACUUCUAGAUAUUCAACUCUGUAAAUUUAAACCCAGAACGUGAUAGCCGACAUCUUGGUUUCUGGACCCCAAAGAGAAGUUGCAUAGCACAUGGAUGUACUCUGAAACUUACCAUCGGAAUGUUUUUUGGAUUUUUUUUGCUUAAUCAUGUGCUUAAUCUAAUACACUUGGGGACUACUGGAACUUUUUCUGGUCAGAUUAGUUCAAACAGUCAGAAAUUGUUCUCUUUCCUUGAAAUAAAGCUGAUUGAAGGAUUACAUUGCCUGAAUAGCUGUAGGAUUCAGAAACUCCUUUAUAAAGACUUACUGUAGUUUUAAGUUCAAAAAAAUCCACGAUUUCUUUGGAUUAAUGGUCUAACAUGCAUAUUUUACUAGAGCUUUGCUUUUUUUUUUUUUUUUAAACUACAGCCUUACUUAGCUAUAGCUUGUUUGUUACUCAUUAGAUGUAAGUAUAUCCCAGGGAGACGAAAUUGUUGACUCUCUGCCCAGGAGGGAGAGAAAAUAUUUAUCAAAUUCAAAAUAUGUAUGCCUUUUGUUCCAGCAAUUCCAAUUUUAGGACUCUCUCCUACAGAAAUACCAAAUGUAUACACACAUACACACACAUACCCGAUGCAAGGAUGUUCGGUGCACCAUUGUUUGUAAUAAACAAUUCAAUCGAAAAUGUGAUAAAUGUCCAUCAAUAAAGGAAUGGAUAAAUCAGUUGAGACCUGUCAAUACGUUGAGUGACAGCUACAAGUUCAUCACCUUGGGAAAAUGUCUGUAUAAGAGAGGGUCUCGGCAGGAAAAAAGAACUCAUCCCAGCUGUUUCAAGUGAAGAGAUUUUAAGAAAAAGUUUACUUACAAGAGGUUGAGCAGUGUUAAAUCAACAAAGAAGAGAUGGGGAAGUAGCAACCAAUCAGCAAUAGAGAAAAGCUAUUACCAUCCAUAGAGUGUAAGGUACCAGGGAGAGAACAUAUACAACUGGAGCCCAGUGAAACUUGGAACCAUGGAGUCAGGGCCACCCAGUGGAACUAUAGCCAAAGAGGGACAUGGUUACUGCCAAAGGCGGAGCUGAAGUGGGGGAAAGCAGGGAAGGAAUACUCUGACUUCUUUCCUCUCAUGCUUCCAUCUCUUGCUGGUGCCUCCCAUUGGCUGAACCCAAUCCCAAGCCUCCGGCAAGGGAGCCCGAGUGAAGCAGUCCAUAGGAGUAAGCCUGCUGGGCCACACAGCAGGCCAGAGAGGAAGCGCAAAAAAUGAUCCAUGGGGAUAGAACCACAGACUCGAGAUUCAAGCCCCAUGUUUUCAUUCUAUACACAGCGGUCUACCUUAUAGAAACUGCUUUCCCUUUUUUUUCAAAAGUUGUUUAAACUUUUUUCUUUUUUUUUUUAGCAUAGAAAGUAAAGGCAGAAAUAAAUUUUCAAGUGCUCAAUUUUUAAGGAAAAAGGUAGAUUACAAAAGUUAUUUUCUCACCUAAUUCAAAAGCAAGUAGAGUUGAAAACCUAAUAAAGAAACCAUUUGGUAAAAAAAGAAAAACAACAAAUACCUAGGACAAUAACAAUGAACUUUCAGGGUGUUGGAAGAUACACCCUUGCUUUACUAUUAAUGUUUAAUGUAAAAUGAUUGAAUUCUUUUAUUCAAAAUAGGCUUUAAGCAAGGUUAAAAAAGAAAGAAAAAAGAAAGACAGCAAGCCAAUAUUCAACAUUCUGUUGCCUGUAAGAGACACACUAAAAAUGAAACUAUUCAAGUUGUCUAAAAGUUGAGGGAGGGCUUAAGAUUUAUUAUGGCUCUGUGCAUACAAAACAAGCAGAUGUUAUAAUCCAGGUUGCAGUGAUUGUUGUAUAUGUCUGAAAACUUGAGAGAUAAUGACUAAGCCUGCGAAGGGGAGAGACAAAGGUGAUAGUUUCCCGGUGUGCUGGUAGAUGAAAGAAUCUUCAUGGCUACUGGAGGGGUGUGGACUCAGCUGCAGUCUUUCUGGCACCAGAGGAAAAGACAUGUGAUAAAGAAGAUAUGCUAUAAUAAGGCCCAUGGGGCAAACGCUGCUGUAUUAAUGAUGUGAUGUAUGUUUCACCCACAUCAUCCCAGGUGUUCUGGUGUGCAGGUGUGCACACCUGUGGAGGAGGAAGCGGAACAAACUUAAACUGACUUCGGUUGAUCACUUUAGGGAGAUUGAGGCAGUUGAAGAGCUACCAGUGUCAGCUUUGUCCAAAAGAAUAAGCAAGUAAGAUUAUAUUUUUUUUCUAGAAAAAGGAAAAUGAUGAUAAAUUCUCCCUUUAAAAAUAAAAAUCCCAUUAUGAAGCAGUGAUUUUCAAAAUCAUAUCCUAUUGAAUUAAAAACAGGUAAAUUGAUCAGUGAAACAGAAUAACAUUUCUAGAAGUAGAUGUAAACAAUGGUAACAAGUCAAUAUGACAAAGAUGACAACAAAUCUAUAAAAAAACAUAUUGCUAUUUUAUAAAAGUGAUCAAUGUGGAGAAGAAUUAGCUAAACUCCCACCAUGUACUAUAAUAAACUUCAGGUGGAUCAAAUUAGAUUGAAAGGCUUAUUGUGGAUGUUUUCUUUUCCUUUUUCUUUUUUUCCCCCUGAGCAUCAGUUUUCCUCUUCCUAAUAUGGCACUCCCACCAUAAUUUCCUAAUGUGAAAUUUCUUCUUCCUGACUCUAUGUUCUGUUCCCAUCUUUCAUUUGGAAGCUGAAGGUGAUUCACACCCUUCUUUUCUUUAUCCAGUACAGUCAGGGGAUGGGCACUUGACCUAGAACUUUGGUUCUUCAGCUGAUGCAAGGAUAAGAAAGAACAGUGGUUGGUCACUGGAAUCCAAACAGGCUCUUCCACCUACAAAACAGCUGUUAUCCUAUCUUUGGUUCCCCAGAAUUCCUUGCUCCUUUUCCAUUCUCAAGCAUGUUCCCCCAGACUCAUACCCAUAGUUUGCUUAUACUGGCCAGAGUGAGAUUCUUUCUAGAUAUGGAAGCUCCAAAGAAAUAACUGAGGAGGAAGAGAGUGUAUGAGAUGGUUGAUGGUUUCACAGUUCAUCUUGGUAUAUCUCCCCUCUAAGGAAAGCAUUCUGGUAGAUGGUCUGACGAUUUGCAUUUCUUCUUGUUGCUCGCCCAUGAGAGGAGUAUAGUUUUCUAUCCCACUGAUGUUGGCUUGUCCACGUGACUUGAUGGACCAAUAGAAUGUAAGUAGAUGUGAUGGGUACCAUGUCUAAGCAGAAGCUUUAAGUAUGAUUUGCCAAUUUUGCUUCCAAAAUAUGUAUUUUACUUUAUCGACUUCAUUUUUCUACCAAACUACCAGCACUGUCCUAAUCCGUGAUAAUCUCGUUCAUUUACUUCAAUAUCCUAAUAACUCUUCUGGCUUUUAGCUGUGUACCUUGAAAAUCCAUCCUUCAGGGCCGGCCGAGUGGCACA